UACGUAGGGUGCGAGCGUUGUCCGGAAUUAUUGGGCGUAAAGAGCUCGUAGGCGGUCUGUCGCGUCGAAUGUGAAAACCCGGGGCUCAACUCCGGGCUUGCAUUCGAUACGAGCAGGCUAGAGUUCGGUAGGGGAGUCUGGAAUUCCUGGUGUAGCGGUGAAAUGCGCAGAUAUCAGGAGGAACACCGGUGGCGAAGGCGGGACUCUGGGCCGAUACUGACGCUGAGGAGCGAAAGCGUGGGGAGCGAACAGG
rnacentral:rRNA from 1 species